GCUCUGUCGCCCAGACUAAAAGUGCAGUGGCACGAUCUUGGCUCACUACAACCUCCGCCUCCUGGGCUCAAGCAAUCCUCCGACCUCAGCAUCCCAAGUAGCUGAGACUACAGUUGAUUAUGUUCCAAGCAACGCUCCUUCAGAGGAAUCUGAUUAAACUGGCUGAGGGUCAGACAUGGUAGCACACACCUGGAAUCCCAGCACUUUGGGAGGCCAAGGCGGGAGGAUCACUUGAGCCCAGGAGUUUGAGACCUGCCUGGGCAACAUACCUGAAUGCUUUUCCUUCCUCUGGUACAUUCCAUACCAAAAAGAUGAGAUGGCCUCAUGACAGGAGUAAGGACUUUGGAGUCGGGUAAAUGCGGAUUCAGAUUUUCUCUCCAACACUUCCUAACUGAAUGCUACUCAGCCUCUCUAACUCAUGACUUCCUCCUCUGUACAUUUGGGAUAAUACCAACCACACAGGGAUGUUGGGGGAUGAAAUGACAUAGGAUUCAUGGGAACUCAAUGGUACCAUAUUCAUAGCAUACGGCAGGUGUGGGCUCCAGGCCCUUCCCGCUUCCCCAUCUCCUAUUCCACAUCAUUAUCUCCUUUUCUUUCUCCCUCCCUCCCUAUCUUUCUUCCUUCCUUCCUCCAUUUCAAAGAACAGCUAAAACUGGUGAUGCAGAAAUGACUACAGUAAAGCUGACCCUAAAACAACACAGAGGUUAGGGGCACUGUCCCCACACACAUUCAAAAAUCCAUGUCUGACUUUGUUUUGGAGAGCUUUUUUUCUUUAAGAUAGGAUCUGGCUCUAUUGCCCAGGCUGGAGUGCAGUGGCAUGAUCUUGGCUCACUGCAGCCUAUGCCUCCCGGGCUCAAGCCAUCCUCCCACCUCAGCCUCCUGAGUAGCUGAGACUACAUGCGCAUGCCACAAGGCCCCGCUAAUUUUUGUAUGUUUUUGUAGAGAUGGAGUUUAACCAUGUUCUCCAGGCUGGUCUCGAACUCCUGAGCUCAAGUAAUCUGCCCACCUCAACUUCCCAGUGCGCUGGGAUUCUAGGUGUAAGCCAUGACACCCAGCCCCAUGCAUAACAUUUUUUUUUUUUUUUUGGACGGAGUCUCACUCUUGUCCUCCAGGCUGGAGUGCAGUGUCGAGAUCUCAUCUCACUGCAACCUCCGCCUCCCGAGUUCAAGUGAUUCUCCUGCCUCAGCCUCCCAAGUAGCUGGGAUUACAUGCCCCCGCCACUGUGUCUGGCUAAUUUUUGUAUUUUUAGUACAGAUGGGGUUUCACCAUAAUGGCCAGGCUGGUCUCAAACUCCUGACCUCGUGAUCCAUCCAUCUCAGCCUCCCAAAGUGCUGGGAUUACAGGCGUGAGCCACUGCACCCAGCCCAUGCAUAACUUUUGACUCCCCAAAAACUUAACUACUAAUAGCCUACUGUUGACUGGAAGCCUUACCUACCAAUAACAUAAACAGUCGAUUAACAUAUAUUUUUGAAUGUUGUAUGCAUUAUACACUGUAUUCGUACAAUAAAGUAAGUUACAGAAAAGAAAAUGUUAUUAAGAAAAUCAUGAGGAAGAGAAAAUAUAUUUGCUAUUGAUUAAGCGGAAGUGGAUCAUCAUAAACGUCUUCAUCCUCCUCAUCUUCAUGUUGAGUAGGCAGAGG
rnacentral:lncRNA from 1 species